AUUUUGGGUUUUGAGGACCGGGCUUAGAGGGUCACCUUGGGGAGAAUCUUGUAGAGUCCCACAUCUACCCUCUGCCUCAAUGAGAUACGAUCCUCCACUUUGAUGAGAUACUACCACUUGGAGAACUUGCUACAUGUCAAUCCCUGCUAUGGAGAAAGUAGACUUUUAUUCUAAUGCAGUAGACUUGAAAUCAUUUGAAUGUGAGAGAAGAGCUGGAGUCAGAAAGAGAUAAAAAGAGGGCCUGAGACUAUGCCUUAAAUUGUUAAUACAUUUAAGGGAUAGAAGAAAGAAAAGGAGAACCGUUAGAGAAGAUAGAAAGAAAUUGUUUCCUGGAUCAAAAACAGUUCUAGACUGGACUGUGUCUCCCACCCCUUUAAAUUCAUGUGUUGAAGCUCUAGCCCUCAAUGGGACUGUAUUUGGAGAUAAGACCUUUAAAGAUGUAAUUAAAGUUAAACGAGGUCAUAAGAGUAGGGCCCUAAUCCAAUAAAGCCUGUGUUCUUAUAAGAAGAGGAAGAGACUUCAAGGAUGCCUGGAAAGGCCAUGUGAGGACACAGCCAGGCAGGGGCCAUCUGCAAGCCAAGAAGAGAGCCCUCAGGAGAAACCACACUUGCUAACACCUGGAUCUUGGCUCUCCAACCUCCAGAAUUGUAAGAAAUAAAUUUCUGUUGUUCUAGCCACCCAGUCUGUGGGAUUUUGUUAUGGCAGCCCUGGCAGACUAAUACAGGAUCCAAGAGAAGAGAGAGUUUGAAAAAGGUGGGAGUGAUUGAUUGUGAGAAGUGCUGCUGAAAACACAACAAUAAAGUAAGCUGAGAACUUAAGUGUCUGUUGGAUCAGGAAAUAAGAAGUCAUUGUUAAUUUUGACAAGAACAUUUUAAUGGACUGAUAGAGGCAGAUUGCAGCGGAUUGAAGACUAAAGAGCAGGAUUCACAUAGAAAAUAUGGCAAUAUUUCAAAUCAUCAAAAUGACAAUAUGGCUGAGUAGGUGUUGUAUAAUGAAUAAAGAACUUCAUAAUUAAAUGCUUAUUCACAACUUUUAGUCUGAACAUCUUUUGCUGUAGGAGAUCUUGCCAAAUUGAUUCCCUUCGUACUUCCCAGUCCAAAUCUAAAUUAGUCACUGCUAUUACAUAUAUGUUACCUUAUCAUUUUUAAAUUGUAGUCUGUAUCAUAGUUACUUAUACUUCUGCAGUUACUUAAUUUUCUCUCUCACGAGGCAGUAAGCAAUGUGAGAACAAGGAUCAUAUUUGGUUUAUUCCAUUAUCUAUGGUUAGAACAUAGUGGACAUUUAAUAUGCAUUAAAUAAAACUAAAAUUCAUUCAACAAUAUGUCAUUAAAAUCUUUACAUGUCAAAUAUAUCAUUUUACUGACUGGAUUUUAUGUAUACAUAUAAUUUACACCAGCCUUUCCUACUAUAAAUUAUACUAUCUGGAAUUGUUUAGCCAGUUAAGGAUUAAAUUCUGCCAUAAAAUUUAACUUUUUUCUUUUUUCUCCAGAAAAACUGUUUUGACCCUGGGCUUUUUUUGCAAGUAGUUUUCUAAUUUUCUAAAUAAUUUUUUGGCCUGUCAUGGUAGCUCAUGCCUACAAUCCCAGCACUUUGUAAGGCAGAGGUGAGAGGAUGGCUUGAGGCCAGGAGUUUGAGACCAGCCUGGACAACAUAGUGAGACCUAACUCUAUGUAUUAAAAAUACAAAUAAAAACAUUAGCAGGGCAUGGUGGUGCAUGUGAGCAUGAGAGGUCGAGGCUGCAGUGAGCAGUGAUUGCGCCACUGCACUCCAGCCUGUGCAACAGACUGAAACUCUGUCUCGAAAGAAAAAGAAAAAAAAUUUUCAUGGUAAUUGCCUUAUUCAAGUUUCCAGCUCUAGUUGUACAUAGCAUUCUCAUUUUUAAUCUGUGUUAAGUAAUUAUUUCAUAUUCUUAAUUCUAACUUUGAUGGCUUUUUUCCUUUAAAAAAACUUUAUUGAAGUAUAAUUUACAUAUAAUAAAAUGCACCUAUUAAGUUGUACAGUUUGAUGAGCUUUCACAAAUGCCACCACCAUAAACAAGAUAUAGAACACUUCCAUCACUCAGAGAAGUACACUCAUGCCCCUUUGCAGACAAUCACUUCUACCUCUGCCCAAGGCAACCACUGAUAUACUUUGUCAAUUUAGAUGAAGAUCUCAUAUAAAUUGAAUCAUAUGGCACAUAUUCAGCAGAACAUGGUGUCACAGGAAUUCAUCCAUGUAGUUGUAUGUAUCAGUAGUUGAUGCCUUUUUAUUGCUGCAUAGUAUCUUUCCAAUGAAACAUGUUAUUCUUUUCAAAGAAUAAAAAAAUUCUUUAGAAACAAUUGCUUAUCCAUUCACAAGAUGAUAAAUAUUUAGGUUAUCAUCAGGUGCUUGAGUUUUCUAUUGCUAUUUUAACAAAUAAACACAAACUUGAUGGGAUACAAUGACACAAAUUUAUCAUCUUAUAGCUCUGGAGAUAAAAAGUCCAAAAUAAGUUUCAUGGUACUAAAAUCAAGAUGUGGCAGGACUCCAUUUCUUCUGGAUGUUUAGAGGCAGUGUUUUCUUUCUUUUUCCAGCUUCUAGAGGUUCCCACAUUCCUUGGCUCCUAGGCUCCUUUCAUCUUCAAAGCCAACACAUCUUUCUCAUAGCUUCUUACCUCUGAGUUGACAAUGUCUCUUUUUUGCUUGUAGGUAGCCUUGUGAUUACAUUGGGCUUACCCAGAUCCAGAUCAUCUAGGAUAAUCUCUCUACCCAAGAUCUUUAAUGUAAUCACACCUGCAAAGUCCCUUUUGGGAAGAAAGGUUGUAGAGAAGGUACUGUUCCCAUUGAAAUCAGUAACGGCCAUGUGACCUGAUUCGACUCAUGAAAUGUUGAAAAUGUGGCAGAUGUGUAUGGAGAAUGAGAAAAUUCCUGUUAUAAUAGAGAUGACUUAAAUUAUGAGGAUGGUAAAGAAGAGGAAAUGUUUUCUGUCCUUUCAAGACGUCAAAGCUUAAUUGAACAUGUUUUUAAAAAUGAAAAUAAAAAUCUCAGUGCAAAGAAUACAUUUACUUCUCUAGUAGAGACUAUUAAUUGCAG
rnacentral:lncRNA from 1 species